rnacentral:sRNA from 1 species
GCCAGGUGCAGUGGCGCACACCUGUAAUCCCAGCAGCUAGGGAGGCAAAGGCAGGAGGAUUGUGAGUUCAAAGCCAGCCUCAGCAAUUUAGUGAAGCACUAAGCAACUCAGUGAGACCUUGUCUCUA